rnacentral:rRNA from 1 species
UACGUAGGGUCCAAGCGUUAAUCGGAAUUACUGGGCGUAAGGCGUGCGCAGGCGGUUUUGUAAGACGGAUGUGAAAUCCCCGGGCUCAACCUGGGAACUGCAUUCGUGACUGCAAGGCUAGAGUGUGUCAGAGGGAGGUGGAAUUCCGCGUGUAGCAGUGAAAUGCGUAGAGAUGCGGAGGAACACCGAUGGCGAAGGCAGCCUCCUGGGAUAACACUGACGCUCAUGCACGAAAGCGUGGGGAGCAAACAGG